AGAUGGAUCAGGACCAGGACCGGGACCAGACCCAGGAUCAGGACCUGGACCAGGACCAGGACCAGUACUGGGACCAGACCCAGUACCAGGACCAGGAAGUGGAAUUAGACAUCAUCCAAUAGGAAAAGGCCCAGGAGGAGGACCAGGAGGUGUUGGACCAGGACCAAAAGG